rnacentral:lncRNA from 1 species
UUAAGUUAUUUUUUAACAAUUAUUCAUAAAUUAUUUAUGAAAACUGAGAUACUAGGCAAAGCUAGUCAUCAUUUUAAAUUAUUGUUCUCUUAACCAUUUUUAUAGCUUGUGAAUAUCAGAUGUUAAUGAUCCAAGUAAGGAUAAAGUAAAAUAUAUGAGCAUUUUUGCAAUAACUCAGAAGAUACAGCUGUUUACAUGAAACCAACAAUAUUAUAUUAGUCUAAUUUAUCAGAAGUUACACAAAGAUAAUUUUGCUCUUAGGCUGAAUGUACAGAUUUAUGACCUUAAAUUCUCUAGGAGAGACAUAUAUAACCUUGUCUGAUCAGCAAACCCAGACAAAACAUGUGUGCUCACAACUCUGAAGACACCUUCAUCUUUAUUUUUACCAACAAAUGUAAAAACAGUUUAUUUACCAAAGAUUUACUUGAGUCAUGUGAACUAAAAGACAUCUGGCUUACUGUAUAUUUUUAAAGUUUUAAGUAUAAUUAGCCUAAGUCCUCAUUUAUCACUGAGCCAAUUUGAAUAGAAUUCUUUAAGAGAUUUUACCAUUGCAGACAGAAAAUACAUGUAUAAAAACACAUAAACAUGUAUAUACACAAAGAUCUUAUACCUUUCAUUUUAGAAUUUUUGUGAUGAGACAGUAAAAUACAGUAAUAUAAACUCACUCUAAUUUAUAAAAGACAGUUUGAUCCAAAUUAUAUUUCCAACAAAAUGGCACAAGUUAACGUCACCUGUUCAUGUGGCUAAACCUCAAGAUUUUUAUUUGUCCUGUUAGGUAAUCUUAUAAAGGCCGUGGACCUAAUUUGAAGUAAAGCGGUUUUCAUAGCAGUUUAAAAUAACCCUCUUUACUCUUUUUGGCUGUUCGGUCUCAAAUGAGUCUUAAAUGUUAUAUUUCAGUUAAAACUGCCUGGAAAAUAAACCUCUAAGUUGCCAUGAAUUUAGUCACAGAUUUGUCUUAAUACAAGCAAAAAAGUCAGCAGAUUCAGAGGAAAUUUAAAAAAUGAGAAAUAGAGAUAUUGCUGCACCAUUCAGACUGUUUAACCCUAUAGUUGCAUUUUUUUGUUUUUGUUUGUUUUUCAUUAAUGCUAAGGGAAAUAAGCUUGGGGAGCUCAAAUGGUGCCCAUAAUGGCCAUAAAUUAUCUUUAGUGUAACCUGUCCAUUGGUUUAAAAAUGUGUGUGAAGAAAAGCUAUACAUUUUGUAUGUAUAUUAAGCUGAGGUUUCUGAAAGAAGCUUGUCCUUAGACAACUUAGCAUGCCUUAGAAUUUGAAGAUUCCAUUCUGUUUCUCAUUAAUCUUUCAAGAACAAAAACAUCCUAUAAUUUAUAUCUAGAUUUUCAGGGUUUGGGCAAAGCGUUUUGCUUUGACAAGUGUACCUGACACAGGACUUUUUUUUUUUUUUUAAUCGUAAGUAACCUUUGCUCUAGUUGUUUGACCUGUGACCAGGUUUUUCCUAUUUGCACUGCAUUUUUCUGGAGACUGGCAAGUGCCCUAGUAGUAACUUUGCCUGUCCAUACCCAAUGUUUUCCAACACAGAAUAGUUUACCCUCAAAAACAGAAGUUCCUCAUAGAUGGUGGUGAUCACUCUAGUGGCCAUCCCAUAUUCACCAUUUAAAAAAUAAUUUUGCUCUAGAAAGAUGUUCAGAAACAAGCAAGGAAAAAAAUGUAAGAGCCAAAUUAUUUCUAGAUGCACAUAAGCAAACCAAAAUGAUACCCCAAAAAAGAGUACUCACAAAAAUUUUAAACCAGGCAUGUAGAGCAAACAAAAUAUUAAACCAGGUGCAUAGAAAAAAAAGCAAAUGUGAAUUUAUCAGAGAACACAGGAGGUCAUCAUAGACAGAACAAAAACUCUGCAAAAACCAGAGUAUUAUCCAGAAGAUCAGUGUCCUUAUACCAGAAAGGGCUUGCCAGAAAAGACAAAAAGUCUUUUGUGGUCCAAGAGGGAUGCAGUGUCCUUUGUUAAGGCAGCUUUUAUCCCAACCAGAUCCCGAAUAAAGUCAAAAGAACUCACCAUAAGGAGGGAGUUCAGCCUGAGAGAAGACUACUCACCAGAAGAGCUUGAUUAACAAUUUUACGGCAUUUUACCCCUUAAAAAACUCUUCCAUAUACGCAAUCACCUUUGAACUCCACAACACAUGAAACAGGAUCUUGCUCUGUCUACCAGGCUGGAGUGCAGUGGCACAAUCGUAACUCACUGGAGCCUCUGACCCCAGGGCUCAAGCCAUUCUCCUGCGUUAGACUUCCAAGAUAUCCAGCUAUUUUGCCCCCUUCCACCAGCACCAAUAUCUUUUGCUUACUAAAGGAGGUACUCACAACGAAGAUCACACAUGACUCUUUAUUUUCUAUUAUGAAGCAACAGCCUGAAAAAACAGCCACUUAUUAAAUACUGAGGUGAGAAAGUUUUUUUUUUUUUUCUUUUAA